rnacentral:rRNA from 1 species
CCUACGGGUGGCAGCAGUGGGGAAUAUUGGGCAAUGGGCGCAAGCCUGACCCAGCAACGCCGCGUGUAGGAAGAAGGCUUUCGGGUUGUAAACUUCUUUUCUCAGGGACGAAGCAAGUGACGGUACCUGCGGAAUAAGCCACGGCUAACUACGUGCCAGCAGCCGCUGUAAUACGUAGGUGGCAAGCGUUAUCUGGAUUUACUGGGUGUAAAGGGCGGGUAGGCGGGAAAGAAAGUCAGAUGUGAAAACCAUGGGCUCAACCUGUGGCCUGCAUUUGAAACUGUUUUGCUUGAGUACUGGAGAGGCAGACAGAAUUCCUAGUGUAGCGGUGAAAUGCGUAGAUAUUAGGAGGAACACCAGUGGCGAAGGCGGUCUGCUGGACAGCAACUGACGCUGAGGCGCGAAAGCGUGGGGAGCAAACAGGAUUAGAUACCCGGGUAGUC